rnacentral:rRNA from 1 species
GAUGAACGCUGGCGGCGUGCCUAAUACAUGCAAGUCGAGCGAACAGACGAGGAGCUUGCUCCUCUGACGUUAGCGGCGGACGGGUGAGUAACACGUGGAUAACCUACCUAUAAGACUGGGAUAACUUCGGGAAACCGGAGCUAAUACCGGAUAAUAUAUUGAACCGCAUGGUUCAAUAGUGAAAGACGGUUUUGCUGUCACUUAUAGAUGGAUCCGCGCCGCAUUAGCUAGUUGGUAAGGUAACGGCUUACCAAGGCAACGAUGCGUAGCCGACCUGAGAGGGGUGCGGGCCCCCCUGGACCUUGGAACCGGUCCCGGCCCCUACGGGGGGCAGGGGGUGGGACUUUUCCGCAAUGGGGGAAAGCCUGGCGGGGCAACCCCGGGGGGGUGAGGAAGGUUUUCGGUUCGUAAAACUCUUUUUUUGGGGAAGAAAAAAUGUGUAAGUAACUAUGACCUUUUUGACGGUACCUAAUCAAAAAGCCCCGGCUACCUCCGU